rnacentral:tRNA from 35 species
GGCCCCUUAGCUCAGCGGUCAAAGCGUGCGACUCAUAAUUGCCCGGUUGCUGAUUCAAAUCCAGCAGGGCCACCA